GCAGAAGAGACUGUCAGCAGACCACCUUGGAGGGGAUGCUUGGAGCUGCCUAACGUGUGAUUCAAAGAUGAAUUCCAUGUGUUUGGAGAAGAAGCCCUAGCCUCAACACAAAGGUUGGCCACAUUCCAGCCAAGGUAGCACGGAGUGAAGGCCCGUGGAGGGAGAGCUGGGCUUUUCUGAACUACUUCAGUACACCUUGCUGUGCCUUGGCCUGCCGUGUUUCAUCCCCAUGGCUGUCCUCAGUGAUGUGCAUGGUCACUGCUCCCUUCACCACUGAGAAGACGGGCACAGGACAGUCAGGGGAUGUGUCCAAGGUCCCACAGCAGGAAGGGCUGGAGCCAGAAUGUGGUCUGAGAGGCUGGAUAUACAAAGAGACAAUGGCAUGACCAUCUGUACAAAUGGAACUAUGGCCCACAACCUGCAGCAGCCAGCCCAGGAAGCCAACCCGUCACCUGCAGCAGCCAGGAUGGAUGCUGGCCUGCCCUCAGGUGCCCUUGUUGGAGAACAUGGGGGGCCAAAUUCCAAACGUGGCAAGAGAUAACAAAUGACUUGUCUGGUGGCUGAACCCUGAGCUGGGAGCACUGCCUGGAGAAAACUCUGAUACUCAAGUCUAGUUUUAUAUGGCUCCAAACGCCUCCACCAUGAGCUCAAGGCAGUGAGACUGACUGAAAAACCCUCUCUAUUACAGACCACAACAUUGAACCCAACAUCCCCCUAAGUAGGUUGUACUCACAUCAUUGGUCUUAUGGGGAAAUUUUAAGACCUCCCACUUGUAAGGUUUUAUAGCCCUCUAUGGAAUAUUGAAGAAAGAGUAAAAUGCAUCCAAAAAAAAAAAAAAACACUAAACUGGAUAAAUUCUAAGGCCUCUUCAGGUCUUAAGAUGGCCAUUUUCUAGGUCCUCUUGCUGCAGCAGUGAAAUCCACAAACACGGACAAGUCAGUCAGUUACGUGCCUUUCAGAGAAAACUUCUGACUUAGGAAUUCCAGCUAUUUGGCCCAACCCAUAUUAGAUUGUGUUAUAAAGACAUGGUAAAUUACAUCACGAAGGGAAGAGCAGAGGAAACAUAAUAUUCCUUCAAGACCCAUCAGCUCAGAUGUUAGCAGAACACCCCUAAGGAGGAAAACAAGAAAUUUUGGGUUUGAACUUGGUACUUCCCAGCAGCCCUGGGAGUGGGGUCAGAAGCCCUGCUGGGGGCCAAAGAACUCUGAGGAUCAAAGAUGUUGAGCAUCACCUUAGAGGCCAAAGAUCAGAACAGUGGAGGUGGCCUUUGAAGCCCAACCUGUCUUUCACCAGAGAGUGAGAACGGCCUCUAUUUCCAGGAAGCUCACUGCAGCAAUAAUCAUGAUGCUCUGAGCCUGACAAGGUGAGAAUUUACUUUCAGCACCUGCAAUAGUUUCCUAUUAAAGUUACAUAUGAAACCCUGCCGUCUUGUACCAACUAAUGUUCACACCAGCGUUCCUAUUUUCAAGAUAAAUUGCAAAAUAAAAACUCUUGUUUUCGUUAGCAAAAGAAAACUUCUUUAGGAGGAUAAAAGGGAGAUGAAGAAACAGAAAACACAUCAGCUCUCCAUCCAGAUUACAGAAAGCAGAAAACAUCCUGAAGUGAAUAACAUAGGAAUCGCUCUUUUUCCCCCCUGAGAUAGCAGGUUACUUAUGAGAAACAAGCUUGAAAUCUCUGCACCUGGACCAGCUUCCAGAGGCUUUUGUCCUGACCAGAUAUUUACUGAAUAACUAGAAGAUGCUAGAUGUUAUUCUAUUCAUUUUAUACCACUCUUCAAAUUACGGAUGUUUCCCCACCGAAACCGACCCUCACAAAAGAAAAACUAUCUGGGGCCUUGGAUCCUCUUUCAAAGGCUCAAGCUGGCUUUGGGGAAGUAAAGGAAACCAGAGAAGAAGAGGCUGAAAGAAUUGGUUUCCACCGUGACCUUUGAACCCUCGGGCGAGUUGUCAGCCUCACUGAGGAUGAGUGUACUCCAUAUCAAGUGAGGUCACUUUACUCGCAAGCUUGUUGUGAGGACUGAAUGAAACCUUUUCUUUUUUCUUGGAGUUUCAGAGCAACGUCCCUGAGCCCAGCCCCACACUGGCUUGAGCCCUGUCGUCGGUCAAGACACGGUGCUUUCUCCCCUCCCCUCUGCACUCCAGCUUACUCUGCAGUCAGGAGGUGGCACCACGAUCCCCUUUAAGACUUUGCCACUUGGGCCAGCUGCGCCCCUGUGAAAUUCCCUGUUUCUAUUGCAGGCCACAAGGACGAGCUGAGAAAUGGCUUCCAGUCACCAUCUAGAUUAGAAAGCCUAUAUUUCAAAUAUAGAUAUAUCAAUUAUGCCUGUAAAAAGACAUUAAAUCCCACAGGGCUGUAAUUCCUAGACUCUACGAAUUUCAUCUUGCACCAAAUUUUAUUAUUUCAUUUAUAAUUCGGAUUCUUCAAAUCUAAGAGUGCCUGGCUCAAAAUUAAAAUACCUACAACUAUGCCAAAACUGGACUCUUUAAUUGCCUUACUGGAACCAGUAGCUGAUUCAAAGCAAAACGAAACAAAAUUCCUCCUUUCUCUGAUUUAGUGAAUCAAUGAUCUAACUGAACUCAUUUUUGGACUGAGUUUGCGGCACUUGCAGCCCUGAGGGACACAUUCCCCCACCACACUGAGCCUGCACUCCCAUCAAUGCAAAUGAACAUUUUGCUUAUUCAGAUUGGGGGGGUGAAGGAAGUCACAAAAGGGUUAAUACAUAUGGCAUUUCAUUGUAAUAUGUACUCACUACUAACUAAAUUAAAAGAGAUGUGAGUUAUUAAAAACUCCAUCUUAAGAAAGUAACAGAAAUCAGAGUUCAGAUUCGUUGUUACUGAGUUUCCAACCAACACCUGUGAGUUAAACCUACGGCCACCCUGAAAACGGUUCAUAUUUUCAAAAGCUUCAUCGAAGAUGAGCUGCACUAAAGAUUCAUAUUACAUAUCAUGCUGCAAUAAGAAAAUCAAAUAAGGCCUUUCCAUAUUCAAUAAUAAAGUUUAAAGAAAAGUAAUAUUUGUUUAGCCAGUUAGCCAGAAAUUAGAUGUAUCAGAAUACAUCAUUCUUUGAGCAUUUUAGAAAAAUCAGGGUAUUUCUACAUUGUGUUUUUCUUUGUAAGCCCUCAAAAAAUAUAGAGAAUAUUCUUGAA
rnacentral:lncRNA from 1 species